GCCCCUAUAGAUCAGUGUUAGAUCACCUCUGCUGCGUGUUCGGUUGGUACGCGUACUUCGGAGGAGACGUAGGUUCGACUCCUGCUCGGGGCG